rnacentral:rRNA from 1 species
AGCAGCCGCGGUAAUUCCAGCUCCAAUAGCGUAUAUUAAAGUUGUUGCAGUUAAAAAGCUCGUAGUUGAAUUUCGGGAUCGACGGGUCGGUCGCGCCUCUGGUGUGUACUGGCCCUGUCGGUUUCUCCCUUCUGACGAACCACGAUGUCAUUAAUUUGGUGUCGUGGGAAAUCAGGACUGUUACUUUGAAAAAAUUAGAGUGUUUAAAGCAGGCAUUCGCUUGAAUACAUUAGCAUGGAAUAAUGAAAUAGGACGUUUGAUCUUAUUUUGUUGGUUUCUAAGAUCGACGUAAUGAUUAAUAGGGAUAGUUGGGGGCAUUAGUAUUCAAUUGUCAGAGGUGAAAUUCUUGGAUUUAUUGAAGACUAACUACUGCGAAAAGCAUUUGCCAAGGAUGUUUUCAUUAAUCAAGAACGAAAGUUAGGGGAUCGAAGACGAUCAGAUACCGUCGUAGUCUUAACCAUAAACUAUGCCGACUAGGGAUCGGAUGAUGUUAA